ACCACAUCCUGCAAGUGCCCAAUACCAUCAAAUCUCAGAAGCUAAGCAGGGCCUUGUUAGUGCUUGGAUGGAAGACCACUUUGGAAGACCAGGGU
rnacentral:rRNA from 12 species